UACAGAGGUCUCAAGCGUUGUCCGGAAUUAUUGGGCGUAAAGCGCGCGCAGGCGGUCCUUUAAGUCUGAUGUGAAAGCCCACGGCUCAACCGUGGAGGGUCAUUGGAAACUGGGGGACUUGAGUGCAGGAGAGAAGAGUGGAAUUCCACGUGUAGCGGUGAAAUGCGUAGAGAUGUGGAGGAACACCAGUGGCGAAGGCGACUCUGUGGCCUGUAACUGACGCUGAGGCGCGAAAGUGUGGGGAGCGAACAGG
rnacentral:rRNA from 1 species